rnacentral:rRNA from 1 species
UUUAAUUGAAGAGUUUGAUCAUGGCACUGAUUUAACUCUGGCUGCAGGCCUAACAAAUGAAAGU